CCUACGGGUGGCAGCAGUCGAGAAUCAUUCACAAUGGGGGAAACCCUGAUGGUGCGACGCCGCGUGGGGGAAUGAAGGUCUUCGGAUUGUAAACCCCUGUCAUGUGGGAGCAAAUUAAAAAGAUAGUACCACAAGAGGAAGAGACGGCUAACUCUGUUCCAGCAGCCGCGGUAAUACAGAGGUCUCAAGCGUGGUUCGGAAUCACUGGGAGUAAAGCAUGCGUAGGCUGUUUCGUACGGCGUGUGUGAAAGGCGCGGGGACAACCCGCGGACGGCACAUGAUACUGCGAGACUAGAGUAAGGGAGGGGGAACCGGAAUUCUCGGUGUAGCAGUGAAAUGCGUAGAUAUCGAGAGGAACACUCGGGGCGAAGGCGGGUUCCUGGACAUUAACUGACGCUGAGGCACGAAGGCCAGGGGAGCGAAAGGGAUUAGAUACCCCAGUAGUC
rnacentral:rRNA from 1 species